GACGUAGGGCGCGAGCGUUGUCCGGAUUUACUGGGCGUAAAGAGCGCGCAGGCGGUCGGAUAAGUCGAAUGUGAAAGCCCCUGGCUCAACCAGGGAGGGUCAUUCGAUACUGUUCGACUCGAAGGCAGGAGAGGGAAGUGGAAUUCCGGGUGUAGUGGUGAAAUGCGUAGAUAUCCGGAGGAACACCAGUGGCGAAGGCGACUUUCUGGCCUGUUCUUGACGCUGAGGCGCGAAGGCUAGGGGAGCAAACGGG
rnacentral:rRNA from 1 species